rnacentral:rRNA from 1 species
CUUCGGUCCACAUGAGUGAGUGGCGAACGGGUGAGUAACACGUGAGGAACCUGCCCCGAAGUCGGGAAUAACUCAGGGAAACUUGAGCUAAUACCGGAUGCCCUCUCUUGAUCGCAUGGUCAGUUGAGGAAAGAUUUAUCGCUUCGGGAGGGUCUCGCGACCUAUCAGCUAGUUGGUGAGGUAACGGCUCACCAAGGCAUCGACGGGUAGCUGGUUUGAGAGAACGAUCAGCCACACUGGAACUGAGACACGGUCCAGACUCCUACGGGAGGCAGCAGUGGGGAAUCUUGCACAAUGGGCGAAAGCCUGAUGCAGCGACGCCGCGUGGGGGAUGAAGGCCCUAGGGUCGUAAACCCCUUUCAGUAGGGACGAAAAUGACGGUACCUACAGAAGAAGCUCCGGCCAACUACGUGCCAGCAGCCGCGGUAAGACGUAGGGGGCGAGCGUUGUCCGGAUUUAUUGGGCGUAAAGGGCUCGUAGGCGGUUACGUAAGUCGGAUGUGAAAACUCGAGGCUCAACUUCGAGACGCCAUCCGAUACUGCGUUGACUUGAGUCCGGUAGAGGAGUGUGGAAUUCCUAGUGUAGCGGUGAAAUGCGCAGAUAUUAGGAGGAACACCUAUUGCGAAGGCAGCACUCUGGGCCGGUACUGACGCUGAGGAGCGAAAGCAUGGGUAGCAAACAGGAUUAGAUACCCUGGUAGUCCAUGCCGUAAACGGUGGGCACUAGAUGUGGGGACUUUCAACGGUUUCCGUGUCGUAGCUAACGCAUUAAGUGCCCCGCCUGGGGAGUACGGCCGCAAGGCUAAAACUCAAAGGAAUUGACGGGGGCCCGCACAAGCAGCGGAGCAUGUUGCUUAAUUCGAGGCAACGCGAAGAACCUUACCUAGGUUUGACAUGUACCGAAAAGCCAUAGAGAUAUGGUGUCCUUCGGGGCGGUACACAGGUGGUGCAUGGCUGUCGUC